rnacentral:rRNA from 1 species
CCUACGGGUGGCAGCAGUGGGGAAUUUUGGUCAAUGGGCGCAAGCCUGAUCCAGCUAUUCCGCGUGUGGGAUGACGGCCCUCGGGUUGUAAACCACUUUAGUAGAGAACGCAAAGGAGCUAUCGAAUAAAUAGCUCUGGUGACGGUACUCUAAGACUACGCACCGGCUAACUACGUGCCAGCAGCCGCGGUAAUACGUAGGGUGCGUGCGUUAAUCGGAAUUACUGGGAGUAAACGGUGUGCAGGCGGGUGAGUAAGACAGAUGUGAAAUCCCCGGGGCUAACCUGGGAACCGCAUAUGGGACUGGUUGGCUAGAGUGCGUCAGAGGGAGGUGGAAUGCGAGGUGUAGCAGUGAAAUGCGUAGAUAUGUGGAAGAACACCGAUGGCGAAGGCAGCCUGCUGGGACGCAACUGACGCU